UGGGAUCAAAGACAUGCACCAUCACCAC
rnacentral:piRNA from 1 species